GGCGCGCCACUUUGGGGCGGAGCAGUCAGGGGCCAGCGGCGAAGGAAAACGGUGGUGGCCGAAUCAAGAAGAAGACAACAGGUUAAAGCUCUCACACACACACAUGUCGAAUGUUCGGAAGCACAAAAUUCUGGUUGCAAAUAUCUUUGCCUCCGUCGAGUCGUUGAGGUAACUCACGCGGGCGGCCGGACGUUGUCGAGCCACGGCCUGCUCCAGCAAGACACGCCUCUGUGUGGUUGGCAUCCGCGGCGGACAUCUCGCGGCACACUUCAGCGUACGCCAUGGCUGAACACAAAGGCGCCAAGAGAUAGCUGCUACAUCAUGGCUAAAUAAUCUGAAAUCUAACUGUGUAGAGCAAAUCCAAUGAUCAGUGCUGUCUGGGGAUGAAAAGGGGCGUGCAUCAGUUCUACAGAAUGCUGAUAAGUACCAGAAGGUAAGGAAGAGAAUGGCAUGAAGGAAAUUUCGUACAUGCCAGUUUGCAAAAGAACUAAUACUUAGGUUAACCGAAUCUGGCUUCUUUGUUGUCUUAACCAAUUAGAGAAGUUGGAAAGUUCUAGCCAAGGUUUUCGCAGAGGACAAAGGCAUCCAACACAAUUCAGCCACUGCAGUGCUUGGGCAGAAGAGGAGGAGCUGUCUGGGUGGUGUUGAUGUGGUCUUGGGGCUCAGAGAAAGUGAAUACGUCAUUUUGGACGGCUCUGAGAUAAAUUUCAUGACCACGUGUUUCAGAUGGGAGGUAUUUCUAAUAAAGAGGUAUGUAGAAGGUCUUGCUUUGAUCUUUAUAUCCUAUAAUUUAUUAAUUUUGUUACGGGAGGUAAACCAUUAUUAUUCCACCUCCAGUCGAUCUAUGUGUCCUUAGGUCUCAGUAUAACCACAUAUAAGUUAGGUGUGUGCCUUAGUUUGAUAGCUAUGCAUAAAACUAAAGGACCCAAUGUGGCAAACCUGUAGGUUUAUUUGAACUGCAUAAACACAUAAAGUGAGAUUUGUGGUUUUGAUUCAGCGGUUCAUGGGACCCACAGUUUUACCUUUUUUAGGUACAUUGUUUAUUAGUUACAACUAAGAGAAUGCCACUUAUAUGAACAAAGUUGAUAUUUCGUAUUUUUGAUCAAUCAACAAAUUAGUCGUCAGUCUGCAUCGACUUGCAGACAGCAAGUAUCCUAUUCUUGAGUUCUACUCCUAUAUUGUACGGAUGCAGCUGAAAAUACUUUUAGCCACAAUGAGAUGAAGAUGCUGAUGUAUAAUCAGAUGCAUUAUCUAUGAACUUCUCGACCCCAUUGAUGUUGGAAAAUCAAUUAGACUUUCCAGGUCUUCUGUGUAAUUCCUUUUAACCAGCUUAGUUCUAUUUUCAUUUCUACCAACCUCUUUUCACGGAUUAUUGCUCUAUAUCAUCUCACGGCUUUAAGAUUUUACAUCAUUCACACGCUUUGCAAUAGAGCAUCUAAAAUUGCAUAUGAUCGUGUGCGUUUUGUUUUUCAGAAAUACAUGUCAGAUGAUCUUUGUACUGUUGAUGCAUUGGAUGGUUUGCUGGACACGCUGAAAGCAAAUACACCAGUUUGAAUGACUUGACCUUAAUGCUUCUCGAGUACUUCUUUUGAUCUUUUUUAAAGAACUGGAUGGAGCCAACAAUGAAAAUACUCAUGUAGUAGUAGUACCAACAAAUACUUCACCAGAUCAUAUUCCAUAAAUUUCUUUCUUGAAGAAUUAUAGACUGACCCAAAUUAAAUGAUGUAGUUAGCCAGUAUCUCCAGUGACCUUCCAUGAGAGAACUUAAAGAUACUUGAGUAGGUGUUAUAGGCUAGCCUCUUUGGUAAACUCCUGGCUGAAUUUCUUGAGAAGGCAUUGCUGUGUAAACAUGAAAGCUUACUUUGUCCGCAGGACCGAAACUACACUCACAGAAUUGGCUUCAGAUAUCUACAGAUAUCAGCUGCAGAUAUUCAGCGCUCAAGCUUCCCGCAGCUAUUGAUGCAGUUGCGGACACGUCUUAUUUAGCUUAGAUCAUCCGACUGCAACAUUAUGAAUGUUUUUUUGUUACCAGUUUGCUAUACGCUAUACUACAGAAGAUACACUAUAUAGAAGAUAGUUCCUUUUGUGUGCUCUCUGUUUAGCUGUAGUCAGCGUGCUGAGGACUAUCCUUUUUCUCAUCUGUCUUUGUACUAGGCAAACUGAACCUAAAAUUCAGAACAUCAUAUUUUUCCUUCAGCACAAGAAAAAGAAUCCAGA